UUUAUGUUGAAGUUUGUAGCUUCCCUAUAUCUUAUGACUGCUCCAAAUUAACUAAGGAUAUAACAAUUACAAGUUAGGCUGAGGGAAUCGAUUGUUGCUGUAAAGAUUUCGAGAAGUGUAUACAAGAUUUUAUAUGAGUGGAUGGUGGAGAGGCCGAGAGAAAGGCCGAGCCUUUUGACAUUAUAACAUUAUUGUCUUUAUGUUGAGCACUAGAGCCACUUGCUUUGGGAAUCUUUAGCUGAUUGUCGAAUUAUUAUUACCAUAUAUGUAAAUGUAUAUAAUAUUGGACCCGAGACCUUGUAUAGUUAUGUCUCCCUCUCUUAUAUAUACCUCCUCUCAUUCAACACCAUAAACUCAUCAUAAACACACACACACUCAUAUAUCGAAGCCUGAUGAUGGACAUGCGUGCCCAUCGGAGUAGAGUUGCAUGAAGUGGAGUAGAGUAUAAUGCAGCCAAGGAUGACUUGCCGAAACGUCGUUCAUCAUGCGUAUAGGUAUUGGUGAUGAACAUAUUUCUGGCAAGUUGUCCUUCGGCUACAUUUUGCUCUCUUCUACUUAUGCAAACUCUCCAUGGUAUAUUCUACAUUUUCAUUCUUUCAAAUGGACGAUAUCUCUCUUAAUUAAGAAGGCGUUGGUGUUGAUCAGAUUAUCCGAAGUCCAGCCUCGAAAACCUUCUUGGAGACACAUACAAAAGAGGAUAGACUUCUUGCAAAAUCUGUAAUGAAUCCAUUCCAUCAAAUAAUGGACUUGAGCUUCAUGUUUCUUUUUUCUGAAAUGCAACGGUUUUUGUGGAACUUAGAUCCGUGAACAAAAGGUUUUGGCUAUUCUCGUCUGCAUAAUUGCUUCACAAAUUUAAGAGUUUAAUAUAUCUAAACUAUUCACACUAGAAAAAAAAUACUAUUUCAUUGGCUUGCAGGUUUGAUGAGCCAAAGAAAACCUUUAGGCAUACAAUAGGAACAAAUUAUAAUCUCCAAAUUAUAUUCUAUGCGUAGGUUCAGAAUGAUAACAGCAUACAGUGAAAAUUUAUGAGAAUUAAUGAAAGUUUAUGAGAAUUAUUUGAGAGAUUUUGGUGAAGAACUAAGAGAGAUAUGUGAGGGAAUCCAAGAGAGAGAUAAUAAUAUUUGAAGAACAUUUUUCCUUAGAUUUAUUUAGUGUAUACAAUAGUUACAUAAAUAGAUCUAGCAAGGAGAAUAAGACAAUGAGAAUGGAUAAACAAAUGGGGAUGAAUAAACUAAUGAAGACCAGAUCUAAGGAAAUCACUUUCGGAUAGUGACAACUCUCUUUCCUCCUUAGCAUAUCAUGUGACUUUGGCUUGUUUCCACACUCCAACAGCUCUAUCCAGUUGUCUCCACUUGUUUAAAUUCGUCCAAGACUUCAGGCAAGAUAUUUAAAUCAGUCUCACACCUUUCCUUGCUUCAGUUUACACUUUUCCUUGCUUCAUUUUUCAUGUCCAUGAUUUCCUGUCCAUAAUUUCAUGUCCAUGAUCUCCUGUCCAUGAUCAAUCAGGUUCUUCGUGUCUUUACUCUUGCUCUUUAUUCUCUUCAUGUCUAACAUACAGAUAGUACCAAAAAGAUAAUCAUCCCCAUAAUUCGCAGGUUCUUUUUCUUUAGUUGGCGUACGUAAUAGUCAAGAAAAAAUUAUAAGAAGAUGCAAAAAAACACAAAAGCAGCCGAAAUUUGUGGAAUAUGUUGAAAUGUGCGUUGUCAGGUUUGGGAAUCUAAGGUACUGUGGGCCGACAAAAGUAGAGAUGUAAUAAAGAUUUUGGUCAGGCAAUCAUAAAUCUAAAUCUUUGUACGCAUUUUAACGAUGACACUCAUCACCACUUUCUCGUCUAAAUGUUUCAGCUUUUUAGUUACGUGCGUUAUCAUCGUGUUCCUAUCGUAUCCUCUUUUCUCUUCUUUUGUUGGUUGUUUAUAUAAUCUGCUGAGCAUAUAAAGAACCGGAUAGGACAAUAACAGGACGCCACAGUUUACUAAGAAAUGCAAAGCACACUCAGUCAUUCAGACUAAUCAUUUAAUUUGUUAGCAGGUUAAGGAUUUUUUACUUAGAUUGAUAAUUUUAGAGUAGCUAGUUUUGUUGUGAACUUACAUUUGGUUCGUUUUUUUAUCUUCCUACCUCAUAUUGUAAAUUUAUCAAAUAUUUAUAACAUAAUAUCUACUAUAUUUCAUC